AGAAGAAGCCAGUCAGCCCACAGCAAAUUGAAAUUCCCUUGAAGAAUCUCCCUUUCUGAGUAAUGACUGUAAAGGCAGCUGAAGUCUUCAGUCCUUUGGCACGCAACAACCAAACACCUGUCACACACCUUCAAACCAGCCUUUGUAGGAGGUGCAAUGUGGGAGAUCUGUGUGUGAGGAUGUAAGAGGGAAAUUAACUGAAAAGGGCCCUGGUGUUCCCCAUCCACCCACCCCACCUCAGCUCUCUGACUCAGGGGCUACAAGGC